CCGAGUUUACAACUCCCAAACCCCCAUGUGAACGUUACCAAACUGUUGCCUCGGCGGGAAAAUUCCAUCGCCCCGGGCGCGUCGCAGCCCCGGACCAAGGCGCCCGCCGGAGGACCAACCAAAACUCUUUUGUAUGUCCCCGCGGACUUUUUUAUUAUUCUGAACCAUCUCGGCGCCCCUAGCGGGCGUUUCGAAAAUGAAUCA
rnacentral:rRNA from 1 species